rnacentral:rRNA from 1 species
GGAUCAACGCUGGCGGCGUGCCUCAGACAUGCAAGUCGAACGCGAAAGUCCCCUUCGGGGGGCGAGUAGAGUGGCGCACGGGUGAGUAACACGUAGGUAAUCUACCUUUGGAUGGGGAAUAACAACCGGAAACGGUUGCUAAUACCGCAUAAUGCAGCGGCACCUAAUGGUGACAGUUGUUAAAGCGGGGGAUCGCAAGACCUCGCGUCUAAAGAGGAGCCUGCGGCGGAUUAGCUAGUUGGUAAGGUAAUGGCUUACCAAGGCGAUGAUCCGUAGCCGGCCUGAGAGGGCGGUCGGCCACACUGACACUGACAUACGGGUCAGACUCCUACGGGAGGCAGCAGUCGGGAAUUUUGGGCAAUGGGCGAAAGCCUGACCCAGCAACGCCGCGUGAAGGAUGAAAUCCUUCGGGAUGUAAACUUCGCAAGAACGGGAAGAAUAAGCCGGUGUUAACACCACCGGCGAUGACGGUACUGUUUGUAAGCUCCGGCUAACUCCGUGCCAGCAGCCGCGGUAAUACGGGGGGAGCAAGCGUUGUUCGGAUUUACUGGGCGUAAAGGGCGCGUAGGCGGCCACCGCAAGUCGGUUGUGAAAUCUCCGGGCUUAACCCGGAAAGGUCAACUGAUACUGCGGGGCUAGAGUGCAGAAGGGGCAACUGGAAUUCUCGGUGUAGCGGUGAAAUGCGUAGAUAUCGAGAGGGACACCUGCGGCGAAGGCGGGUUGCUGGGCUGACACUGACGCUGAGGCGCGAAAGCUAGGGGAGCGAACGGGAUUAGAUACCCCGGUAGUCCUAGCCUUAAACGAUGAAUGCUUGGUGUCUGGGGUUUUAUAGUCCCCGGGUGCCGUCGCUAACGCUUUAAGCAUUCCGCCUGGGGAGUACGGUCGCAAGACUGAAACUCAAAGGAAUUGACGGGGGCCCGCACAAGCAGCGGAGCAUGUGGUUUAAUUCGAUGCAACGCGAAGAACCUUACCUGGGCUUGACAUGUAACUGACAGCCGUGGAAACACGGUCUUCCUUCGGGACAGUUACACAGGUGGUGCAUGGCUGUCGUCAGCUCGUGUCGUGAGAUGUUGGGUUAAGUCCCGCAACGAGCGCAACCCCUGUCCUAUGUUGCCAGCAUUAAGUUGGGGACUCAUAGGAGACUGCCGGUGACAAACCGGAGGAAGGUGGGGAUGACGUCAAGUCAUCAUGCCCCUUAUGUCCAGGGCUACACACGUGCUACAUUGGCCGGUACAGAGGGUUGCGAUACCGCGAGGUGGAGCGAAUCCCAAA